AGAUAAAGGUGUAAAAACAAGUAUAAAAAAUUUAGACUUUAUGCUUUGACGUGAGAUUUUUUACACCAUUAUCGCCCAAAGCCACCAUUAUCCAAACAUCAUAGUCGCUGAUCGUCCCUCUCAGUAUUGGGGAUAAUACGCAGAGAAGCUUUCAACUUUUAUAAAAUAACGAAGGUCUGACAUGCGCUGGCUCUCUC